CGCCCCUCCGGCUGGCCUGUUCGCUACCCGGAACGCGCGCCCUCGCAGCCGGCAGGGGAAAGUGUCAGAGACCGGUGCUCAUUCAGCGGAUUCAUAGUGACGGGCUAAAAAGAGUUAAAGCGCGGCUGGGAAAGCUCGGGCACCUGAGAGCCAGCCGGAGGGGAGGGCAGGAGAGCCUUGGCGGGGGAGGAGGGGGCUGAGGAGAUGUCUGCCAUUAGGCAUGUUUAUCCUGGCAAGUGGGAGAUUCGUAAGGUGCUGCUUCGCUUUCUGGGUUUGUAGGCUGGGAGGCUGGUGGGUGUCAUGAGGGGAAAAGCUGAGAACUGGCUGCUCCAUUUAACUUCAUUUUUUUCCCUCUCUCUCUCCCUUUUAUAAUACUUCAGGAAAAUAUCAAAGGCCACGGUAAGCUCAGGAAGUUCAGACUGGUGUAGAUGUUCAGCCUCCUGUUAUCAGCAGGCUGAUAACUGUUCUAGAAAUAGCAUCAUCUUCUAGUAGAAGCUUUUUUCUUCUUAAAGAAAAAGAAAUCUUGCUUCAUUUUUUUGAGUAGCAGCAAUUUGAAGGUGCUGAGAUGUUUGCAAUACAGGUGCUUGGAGAUGGAAAUUUUUCAGUCUGGUGGAGGAGAGAAACUAUUUGGACAUCACUGCUUGUAAACAAAGGCAUCUAUUCUCCAAAGCCCUGAGCUCUGAGUGCACUGUGAGAGCAAAUGCCCCCGUCUCUGGAGAUAACAGCACUAAAUGUAAUCAGCUGUGUCUCAAAGCAAGUGCAGCAUUUCCUUCCUGAUCUCACCUCUGAGAAGCAGCUCAUAUCUGCCAUUUUGUUAUCAUUGAUUGCAUGUUUGUCUUCUUGCAGGCACUCCCGGUUUGCUCCUGUGUCAGCAGCAGAUUUCCCCAGUUGAGGAGACCAUGUUACAUUUGAGAUCCCUAAUGAGUGCUGCACUAAUUAACUUUGGUCCUAGAAGGUCACUGAAUGAUGCAGUGGGAUGCUCUUAUUAACCUUAUCCUGACAGUCACAAUCUCUACUGACACAUUGUUCUUUUCCCCAUGCCUCCAUUAGACUAAACUUUACUGCCUAAGGAAAAGUUGCAAGCUCAAAGUAGGAGACGCUGCACAGAAGACUGUAAACAGCUCAGCAUGAACACAAGCUCUUUGCUUUUGCGAACUCUACAGGGAGAACAAAAAGAAGUGUACUGAAUAAUUCAGUCUUGAGGAGAGUGAAUUGAGCUUGAGGAGAAUUGUUGAAUUCCCAAGUCUGUGGUUUGUGGUUUUUGUCAUCGACUGCUCACAUGGAUUGAAAAUCUUGUCUCUGCAGUCAGUGGUUUUUAUCUCCUCUUUGGAUUCUGCAGUUUUAUCUGGCUUUCGAUCCCUGAUCACCAGCUCUCUGUUCUUGCAAAUAAACACAAAAGAACCAUUGAAGGACCUUUCUGCUUCCAAGGGGAGCCACAGAAAGCCUGCUACACUAAUAAAUCAGAAUUUAACUUUGGACCUGAAUGUUGUAGAUAGUCCAAUGAAAGUUGAUGGAGUCAUCAUGCUAAAUGUGAGGCACUCUUCCUACUGUCCUCCCCUCACAUGCUGGAAUAUCCAAAUUCUCAAGGAAGGUGAAAGUUUGAUAUCAGAAAAGAACCUGCUGAAAAUGGGGUCUCUUAACUCACCCUAAAAUUUGUUAUUUAUAUUAACAUGCUGAUGGGAGCCAGACAAUAACAAUAGGAGCUGGUCCUGCAUGUUAUGCAUUGGCAGCCAAUAAGUGAAAAACCCCAAGUUAAUAUCAUUUGAGAAUUUGUAGAUGCAUAAAAUAGAGAGCCCAUUUUCUGCAAGGUGGAAUGAUGAUGCAAUACCUGUCACUGAAAGUAGUUUGCCCAGAAAAAUGUUAUAAUUGUGAGAGUCUAGCCAGUAUUCAGGACUCUAUAUAAAACCUGAACCAUGCUCAUCAUUUCUUGAAGCCACUAAACAUGGUAAAUGUUAUUACCUCUAAAGGAUUUUUUUCCCUGCUUCAAUAAGCAGAAUCAUCUGCAGAAAAAAAAAUAAAAAUAUAUAUAUAGUCUGAAAAUUGUUAUCACACUGUCAGUAGAACACUUAUUUAAUUAACUCUUAUUGACAAUCUCACUGAGUGGUAUAGUCCAUAUAAGUAAAUAUCUGAGCUCAGUCAUAAUGUGGACUGCAGGAAGGCUCUGCUAAUGUAUUUCCAUUCAGCUGCUUGCAGCUACAAAUUAACAUUUCCUAACCAAAAGAAAGAAAUAAAAAUGUUUGGUGGUUUUGUGAUGGAUUUGUAAGACAAUGCUUUUUUUGUGAUGGAUUUGUAAGACAAAGGAAGUAACUUUCAGUGAGGAGGAUAUGGUCUCUUAUCCUUGAACUUUAAGAGAUAACAGAACCUUAACCUAAAAAAAGAAAAAAAAAAAAACCAAAUCAAAGCCCAAACCAAAUUCUUAAUACCCAAUUAAAAAACCCUCAGUUUUGAUUCAUGGUAAAUUAAUGCUUUGUAACUUACAGUUAUCACUAGUGUUUCUGUAGUCAUGGACUUCUUUGAAAGACAGCUAAAUCUAGAAAACUUUUUAAAUUAAGUGACAGGUCAGAUGGGAUCUGCUUGCAAGUGAAACAAAUCCACAAGUCUCCUUGUGGAGGGACGAAAAUUUUUAUUCCUUUUAGCUCUAUCUUUAGUUCUGAUUAACAUAUAAUCAAAUAAACUGGAGUCCAUCCAGAAGGCAGUUUUGGUUAAAAAUAGUCAGAUAACUGCAUCAAGAAUAUGCUUUCUGCAAGGUACUCCUGAGGUAGGAAAUGCAGAAAUGGUGUCUGUUCUGGGCUAAAAAUCCCUUUUUCCACAAGCAGGAAUUCAAAUCAGAGUUGUAGCACAUGCAUGCACACUGUUUCAAGUGCCAGAACACUUCUGGUUUUAGUUAAAGGGAACAACCCAUGUCCCUAAAGGCAGGUGCUUCCCAGUGUGAGUCAGGGCUGCCCCUGGAGAGGUCCUGGAAUGCUGGUGUGAGGAUUCUGAGGCAGAAUCCUGUCCUCAAAUCUCUGGCUAAAGAUGAAAAACUUACCUUGAAAGUGCCUAGCUUUUGUAACAUCUGACUUGGGCACAGCCUUGUUGCUGGGCAAGGGAGUGACAGGAACAACAAAUCCCCAGGGGAAGGAGGAAAGGAAGGAAUCCCAUGGAGCAAUAACAAAUCCCUGUUCUCCAGGUGAAGGGGGAGAGGAAGGAAUCCCAGUGGAGCAAUAACAAAUCCCUGUUCUCCAGGUGAAGGGGGUGAGGAAGGAAUCCCAUGGAGCAAUAACAAAUCCCUGUUCUCCAGGUGAAGGGGGAGAGGAAGGAAUCCCAUGGAGCAAUAACAAAUCCCUGUUCUCCAGGUGAAGGGGGAGAGGAAGGAAUCCCAGUGGAGCAAUAACAAAUCCCUGUUCUCCAGGUGAAGGGGGAGAGGAAGGAAUCCCAGUGGAGCAAUAACAAAUCCCUGUUCUCCAGGUGAAGGGGGAGAGGAAGGAAUCCCAGUGGAGCAAUAACAAAUCCCUGUUCUCCAGGUGAAGGGGGAGAGGAAGGAAUCCCAGUGGAACAGGGUGCUUUGGCCACACUGUAGCUCGUGGUAUCUCAGUGCAAUGUGUGCCAACCUCCUGUUCCUGUGCAGCCUCAGGACCCAGUGCUGGGCAUCAAUCUGCACAGAACAGGGAGAGUUUUAUGGGAUCUUGGGUAUCUCUCUUCCCAACAGAUUAGCAAACAACUCCUCUACCCUAUUGCAUUUGAAAUACUGGGGGAAUAAAAGAGCUGUGCUGCUGUGUGAGAUACUUUUGAGGGAGAACCAGGUAAGCUGUUUCUUUGGCAGAGGGAUAAUUAAACUUGUGACUGAGUCCCAUGUAUAAAUGAGUUUUUUCAACAAAAUAUAAACACUUCCAUCAGCAGAAUUGUGUUUUUUAGAAAUGUAUCUCUUUGUGAUGCUGAGGCAAAAGACACUGCAGUUUGCUUUAUUUGUUAUAAUAAUUAUAACCUAUACCUUAGAAUUUUUUUCUUCUACCCUGUGAUCAUCUCCCUGAAUAGCUAGAAGCUAUUUUUCCUUCUCUGAGGAUGUUCUGAUGAAGCUGAUGCUGUGUGGUAGGUCCCGGCCACCUGCUUUACUUGGUCAUGUGAAUGUUUUCCUGAGUCAUACUCCCAAAAUACAUUGUUGCCUAAAUCUAGGGAAAACUGACAAUCCGUAGCAGUUGAACUUUCAUAUUACAGCAGAAUUUAUGUUAAAAAUAAAUUGUCACAAAUGAUUACUUUCUGGAAUACAUGAGUUGCUUGCUAAGAACCUGGGUAAGCACCUAGUUCUCUGUGUGAGAAGGGUUUCUCUUGCCAUUAAUUACUCCAGGAACUAAAGUCCACACCAAAACAGUAGAUAGGAGAUUGAGAUUAAUGUUCCCUGCUUUUCUGGUUAAAUAUUGAAGCUGUCACAGAAAUGUUCUCCAGCCUAUGUCAGCUGCUGUUAGCUUUCAGAGCUCAUUCUUCUUUAGGCACUGAGAUUUUCAGCUUUUUUCAACACAGGAAUAUCUCUGCAGCCAGAAGGGUUAAGGUUGCUUUAGCAAGGCAGAGGGCACAGGCCAUCUAUAAGUUGUUCUGUGAGCCAGAGCCUGUGGGAAAACAAUAUUUUGUGUGAUGAAAUGACUCCUGGCCUCACCUUUUCCUAUGUGAUCUGUGCAAGGUGCUGUUUUACUGAAAUCCUGCUGUUUUGGCUACUAUGACUUUAGAUUUUAACCCUUCUGGAACAGUGCCUGGCUUUGGGAGAGGAUUCUAAACGGUGUUCCAGGUGGAGCCCACCUUUCAGUCUGAAGGAAAGAGGGGAAAUGUAAAGCAUGUGCUGGUCCCAGUAUUGCCUGGGGCUGUCGCUGCAGUGGUGUUUGAGUGGGUUGAUGCCAGCAAUCUCCCUGGUCAGUAACAGAGCUAGUUUGAAUUUUGCUGAGGUGUGUGCCUGACUCCAUGGACUGCGUGUGAAAGUCAGUGGCCUCUUUCCCCCAUAUUAGAAAAUAGAAGGUGAAGAAUGCAUAAUCCACCCUGUACUUGUGCUGGCUGGAGCAGGGUUUGGAACACAAACUAGGCUCAUGGGGAAAAACAAACAGAGUGAGUUGACAAUGUGAAGCUAUUGCAAAAAGAGACAAAUGUGACUCUGCAGUUUAUCGUGAGGAAUAUUGCAUGAAAGACAUAAUUGUUCUGAUUUGAAAUUGCUGAUGCUUCAUCUAACACAAGUUUUGCAUACUGCAAUUUCAGAUAUAGACGAGUUGGAGAGUCCAGAAAAAAGAAAAAAAAUGUAAUCUUACAAAACAAUCAUUUGUAAGCACUUCCUGUGAGGAAAAAGCUAAAAAGAAAUAGGUUUUAUAAGCUUUUCUAAAAGAAAAUGAUGUUAUGACUGUGGAAAAAAUUGUUGGUUUUGUAGCCAGGUUUUCUGGCUUCUUCAAAUAGAAAUUGAGUAUGAUAACAAAAAAUGGGGCAAAUAUAGUCAACACAACAUAUAGGAAAGUAAAUGCAGUUUUCUAUGCAAUAGAAGGUGAUCUAACCAGAAUAAAAAAUUAAUUUAAGUGAGAAUACAUUUGUGUUUCAAAUGAAAAUCAUGCCAAAGCAUUUUACAUUGAUGUCUUAAAAGUGGUUUAGUUUAGUAUUAGUAAAAAUGUAUUAUGAUUUAAAAUAUUUUUCUUGAGUGAAUAAGCAUGCCUUUGCAGUUGCUGUUGAAUGUGUAUUAAGUUAAGAGAAAACAUAAAAGGUUGUCUUAAUUGUUCCAAAUGCUGCCCAUCUCAGGUCAUUCAAUAUCCAGUGCAACUCCCACCAAAUUCCUUGUGAAGACUGUGGUGACUUUUUCCACACUGUAAAACAGCCUUUACUCCCAAAGUUGGGUAAAAUCAAAGUGAUCUGUGAUGGUGCCUGUGUUUGGGGUAUUUCAGUACAUGGCAGCAUCAGUUCUGAGAUUUGUUUGUCUGUGUGGGGCCUGGGGAUUUUAGUUCCAGGUGGAUCUCAUCUUGUCCUCCGCAUCUUAAGUUUCCGCUGUAAAUUGUGGGCUCACUUCAGCACUGCAGUGUUGCACAGAACCAAGGGAUUCGAAGAUGAAACCUUUACAGUUCUUUCUUCUGAAUCACACAGUGGACUUCACUUUUCACACUUUCUCUUUUUGCACUUUUACUCCAAAACUGCAAAAUGAUUAAACCAGACAGGUAUGUCUACUUCUCAGUAUAUAUUUUAUCAAAGUACAGAUGUGAGCAAACUAAGGAAUGUGUGAUAUGAUUUUUUAUUUGUAGUUCUCCUCACUGAACUGUCAGUGGUGACUUCGGUUUCUCUACGUUACAUAACAAAGAUGUUAUUGGUAAUAACUUUGCUCUUCCUUGGUAGACAUGCCAAAUAUCAAGGUUACAGGAAUUUAAUCUCAUUAUUGAUAGCAACUAGACAUUUUUAAGAUAUCAAUCAAAAAGAUCUUUGAGCUUUUUGUUCUGUCCAACAACUUUAUACUCAGGAAACAAGGAGAAAUUAUAAUAAAAUAUGGUCACCCUGUUUUUUUCAAAUGCUCAUCUGCCUCUCACAGGAGAUUUUAACCUUUGAUCAAAGUAUCUAAAAGUACACAGUAAAGACCUUGAUAAUUAACAAGUCGAGAUUUACACUCAGUUAUGUCUCACAACAUAAGUCAUAUUCAUGUGAAUGUAGAAACAGUUUCUUCUGAGUGGAUUUUCUGCUUUUCACAUUGAAACUAACAUUGAUUAAUAAAUUUUAAUAAACUUACUGUAGCCUUACGUAAUCAGAGUGUAAUUUAUUUUUCUGACCUGAAAGUUAUAUUUACAGUUUGUAUCUGAAUUUAAACUUCC